rnacentral:rRNA from 1 species
GUACGGUCAAGCUACUAAGGGCACAUGGUGGAUGUCUUGGCGUCGAGAGGCGAUGAAGGACGUUGGAACCUGCGAUAAGCCCAGAGGAGCUGGUAACCGAGCUUUGAUCCUGGGAUCUCCGAAUGGGGCAACCCGGCCCGUAAGGGUCAUCCGUGUCUGAAUGCAUAUGGCACGGAGGCGAACCCGGUGAACUGAAACAUCUCAGUAACCGGAGGAAAGGAAAGCAACCGCGACUCCGUAAGUAGCGCCGAGCGAAAGCGGAUUAGCUGGAUUGCAUCGUGAACAGUCUGUGAAAGGCUGACCAAAGAAGGUGAUAGUCCUGUAGCGAUGUUGCCAGUGAGGCCUUGAGUAGGUCCGGGCUCGUGAAACCCGGUCUGAACAUGGGGGGACCACCCUCCAAGCCUAAGUACUCCUCGACGACCGAUAGUGAACCAGUAACGCGAGUGAACGAUGAAAAGCACCCCGAUAAGGGGAGUGAAAAGUACCUGAAACCNUGUGCUUACAAGCGGUCGGAGCCCUUCGGGGUGACGGCGUGCCUUUUGCAUAAUGAGCCGACGAGUUACUCUCUGUNGCAAGGCUAAGCUGAANCCCAGCGNAGCCGAAGGGAAACCGAGUCUUAAAAGGGCGUCGAGUNGCAGGGAGUANACGCGAAACCCNUUGAUCUACCCAUGGGCAGGUUGAAGNGAGGGUAAAACCUCUUGGAGGACCGAAGCCGUAAACGUUGAAAAGUUUUGGCAUGACCUGUGGGGAGGAGUUAAAGUCUAAUCAUAAUGGGAGAUAUCUCGUUCUCUCCGAAAUAGUUUUUGGACUAGCCUCACGUAAUACAGUACGGGGGUAGAGCUACUGGAUGGGGCUGGGGGGUCACAAACCUACCCACCUCAACCAAACUCCGAAUACCGUACUGCGUAUCGUGGGAGUCAGACUACGGGGGAUAAUCUCCGUGGUCAAAAGGGAAACAGCCCAGACCACCGGCUAAGGCCCCUAAAUAUGUCUAAGUUGUAAAGGUAGUCAGAUUGCGAUGACAGCCAGGAUGUUGGCUUAGAAGCAGCCACCAUUUAAAAAGUGCGUAACAGCUUACUGGUCGAGGAAUUUGGCGCCGAUAAUGAUCGGGGAUAAGACAUAUGCCGAAGCCGUGGAUGACAAUAGUCAUGGUAGGAGAGCGUAGCUAUCAGCGUUGAAGGUUGCCCGGGAGGGCAGCUGGAGCGGUAGCUAGUGAAUAUGUCGGCUUGAGUAACGAUAAACGGAGUGAGAAUCUCCGUCGCCGAAAACCUAAGGUUUCCUGGGGAAGGUAAUUCCGCCCAGGGUUAGGCGGUACCUAAGGCGAGGCCGAAAGGCGUAGUCGAUGGACAGCAGGUUAAUAU